rnacentral:rRNA from 1 species
UACGGGGGGGGCAAGCGUUGUUCGGAAUUACUGGGCGUAAAGGGCUCGUAGGCGGCCAACUAAGUCGGAUGUGAAAUCCCCAGGCUCAACUUGGGAACUGCAUCCGAUACUGGAUGGCUUGAAUUCGGGAGAGGGAUGCAGAAUUCCAGGUGUAGCGGUGAAAUGCGCAGAUAUCAGGAGGAACACCGGUGGCGAAGGCGGGUCUCUGGGCCGAAACUGACGCUGAGGAGCGAAAGCGUGGGGAGCAAACAGG